AUUGAACGCUGGCGGCAGGCCUAACACAUGCAAGUGGAGCGGCAGCGGGAAAGUAGCUUGCUACUUUUGCCGGCGAGCGGCGGACGGGUGAGUAAUGCCUGGGGAUCUGCCCAGUCGAGGGGGAUAACUAUUGGAAACGGUAGCUAAUACCGCAUACGCCCUACGGGGGAAAGCAGGGGACCUUCGGGCCUUGCGCGAUUGGAUGAACCCAGGUGGGAUUAGCUAGUUGGUGAGGUAAUGGCUCACCAAGGCGACGAUCCCUAGCUGGUCUGAGAGGAUGAUCAGCCACACUGGAACUGAGACACGGUCCAGACUCCUACGGGAGGCAGCAGUGGGGAAUAUUGCACAAUGGGGGAAACCCUGAUGCAGCCAUGCCGCGUGUGUGAAGAAGGCCUUCGGGUUGUAAAGCACUUUCAGCGAGGAGGAAAGGUUGGUAGCUAAUAACUGCCAGCUGUGACGUUACUCGCAGAAGAAGCACCGGCUAACUCCGUGCCAGCCGCCGCUGUAAGAC
rnacentral:rRNA from 1 species